AUUGAACGCUGGCGGCAUGCCUUACACAUGCAAGUCGAACGGCAGCGGACCUUCGGGUGCCGGCGAGUGGCGAACGGGUGAGUAAUAUAUCGGAACGCACCUUUCAGUGGGGGAUAACGUAGCGAAAGUUACGCUAAUACCGCAUAUUCUGUGAGCAGGAAAGCAGGGGAUCGCAAGACCUUGCGCUGAUUGAGCGGCCGAUAUCAGAUUAGCUAGUUGGUGAGGUAAAGGCUCACCAAGGCGACGAUCUGUAGCGGGUCUGAGAGGAUGAUCCGCCACACUGGAACUGAGACACGGUCCAGACUCCUACGGGAGGCAGCAGUGGGGAAUUUUGGACAAUGGGCGCAAGCCUGAUCCAGCCAUGCCGCGUGAGUGAAGAAGGCCUCGGUUGUAAG
rnacentral:rRNA from 1 species